rnacentral:rRNA from 1 species
CGGGGGGAGCAAGCGUUGUUCGGAUUUACUGGGCGUAAAGGGCGCGUAGGCGGCCACCGCAAGUCGGCUGUGAAAUCUCUGGGCUUAACCCAGAACGGUCAGCCGAUACUGCGGGGCUAGAGUGCAGAAGGGGCAACUGGAAUUCUCGGUGUAGCGGUGAAAUGCGUAGAUAUCGAGAGGAACACCUGCGGCGAAGGCGGGUUGCUGGGCUGACACUGACGCUGAGGCGCGAAAGCUAGGGGAGCGAACGGGAUUAGAUACCCCGGUAGUCCUAGCCUUAAACGAUGAAUGCUUGGUGUCUGGGGUUUUAUAGUCCCCGGGUGCCGUCGCUAACGCUUUAAGCAUUCCGCCUGGGGAGUACGGUCGCAAGACUG